GCGAGAAGCUGAGGCCGGCGG
rnacentral:misc_RNA from 1 species